UACGGAGGGUGCAAGCGUUAUCCGGAUUUACUGGGUUUAAAGGGUGCGUAGGUGGGUUGGUAAGUCAGUGGUGAAAUACUUUCGCUUAACGAAGGAACUGCCAUUGAUACUACCAGUCUUGAAUACAGUGGAGGUAGGCGGAAUGCGUCAUGUAGCGGUGAAAUGCUUAGAUAUGACAUAGAACACCAAUUGCGAAGGCAGCUUACUACACAGUUAUUGACGCUGAGGCACGAAAGCGUGGGGAUCAAACAGG
rnacentral:rRNA from 1 species